rnacentral:rRNA from 1 species
AUUGAACGCUGGCGGCAGGCUUAACACAUGCAAGUCGAGCGGAGACUUCGGUCUUAGCGGCGAACGGGUGAGUAAUACCUAGGAAUCUGCCUAUUAGUGGGGGAUAACGAAUCGAAAGGUUCGCUAAUACCGCAUACGUCCUACGGGAGAAAGGGGGGAGUCUUCGGACCUCUCGCUAAUAGAUGAGCCUAGGCCGGAUUAGCUAGUUGGUAGGGUAAAGGGCCUACCAAGGCGACGAUCUGUAGCUGGUCUGAGAGGAUGGCCAGCCACACUGGAACUGAGACACGGUCCAGACUCCUACGGGAGGCAGCAGUGGGGAAGUAUUGGACAAUGGGGGCGAACCCUGAUCCAGCCAUGCCGCGUGUGUGAAGAAGGCCUCGGUUGGUAAG